rnacentral:rRNA from 1 species
UACGUAGGUGGCAAGCGUUGUCCGGAUUUACUGGGCGUAAAGAGCGCGCAGGCGGUCGGAUAAGUCGAAUGUGAAAGCCCCCGGCUCAACUGGGGAGGGUCAUUCGAUACUGUUCGACUCGAAGGCAGGAGAGGGAAGUGGAAUUCCCGGUGUAGUGGUGAAAUGCGUAGAUAUCGGGAGGAACACCAGUGACGAAGGCGACUUCCUGGCCUGUUCUUGACGCUGAGGCGCGAAAGCUAGGGGAGCAAACGGG